rnacentral:snoRNA from 1 species
CCGUCUUAUGCCAAUGCUCGGUCAGCUGCCUUCACCCGGGCUGAUCUUGAGCCGGAUGCCCAUUGCUACGGCGCGGGCACAAGACAAGAGGAACGUCCUAGACAACGCUUUUUGAGUACGAAACCUUCCGUGAUGCCACCAGAUGAAGGUCUUCGUAAUUUACUUGUUGUUACAUUG